rnacentral:lncRNA from 1 species
GGAAAGACAGAUUUAUAUUUCCAUUUUAAGACCAAUUAUGUGUUAUGCGUCCCCUGUCUGGGCGACUGCUACGAGCUCAGAUAUCAACAUAUUGCAGGUGACUCAAAACAAAAUCUUACGCACCAUUACAGCAGCGCAGUUUUACAUCCAUAACAAACACUUGCACGAUGAUUUACAAGUUGAAUAUAUCGAGAAAUGUCUGCAAAAAUUUAACAGCAAGUUCUUUGACAAAGGUUUGAAUUGCAGUAAAGGAAACUUUAAUGCUGUACUGAACUAUGUCUGCAUUCCUGAGAAGAACAAUAAUAUUAGGUCUUUCACGGCUCACAGAAUGAGGUAUCACAAUUUUGUCACCUAGCCCACUCGUUUUUAUAUAUGUAAAUAACACAUUUUCAUGCAUACAGUAUUUCACUUUCAUUUAUUUAUUACAUGUUUAACACUGUAUCCCCUAUGCACAUUUCAUGUAUUUUUAUUUCUUUUGCAUCUUCACAGCUCCAUACACAUGAUUAUUACUCUUGUCUCAGGAGUAAGAGUUAAGUUACUUUGAUGAUUGGGCUUUUUGUCACUAUGGCCGAUGGGCCCUCUUUUCCUUACUUGCUCCGAUUUCCCGGCUAGGAACUAGCUGAUAAUUGACACUCUGAUUGUCCUUACGGGAUUAGAUGAAUAUAGUUUAUUAAAGCUUAACUGGGCUAAUUAAUAUAAGCAUAAGCAAUUAGCAUGUAAGCAGUGACUACAUCUUCAAACGAUUCUUCUGAAUCCUGAGAAAUGGACUUUGACAAAAUUCUAGACUAUUACAUUUUUUCAUUUCAAGAAAAAGAAGACUGCAGCAGCUCGCACUGUGCCUUUGUUGAACGUUUAGAUGGCAUAGAUGUUUAAUUUACAUCUACCAUUGAAUGAUGACUGAUCUGUUUCUACGAGCACCGAUAGAUGGCACAACAUUAUGGUGUCUUUUCAGGAUGUCUCGCUUUGCUCCGCCCAGCGUGGUUUGUGGCCCCUCCUGUUCGAACCUGCUCCGAUUCUUCUUCCGAGAUCCUCCCACGUCUGGAACUUUAUAUGUCAUGUGCCUUCGGAUUUUCUUUCAAGCACCGGCAAAGUUGCUCUCAGCAAUAGUUCGGUAUUAUACAGUGUCUAAGCACUAAGCCGCUAACGCUGGCUUAAAUGUUAAGAAGGAAAAGCUCGCAGCAGCAGAAGUGGCUCCCUUCGAACCCAAGGUUCUUUAAUAUUAAAGAUUAGGCCAGGAACGGAAAAAGCGUGCCAUUGGUUGCUGGUAGUGACGUCACCCAGGUGACAAGGCACAUGGGUCGCCGCGUCUGCUACAUGAUUUUGGGUAAUAGAAAAACUGUAAACUAAUGCCUUCGUUAUAUUCACUCUAAGGCACUACUCGGAAGACAGAGAGGCCUUCGUGGAGGACUUUCUUAGGAAAAGUGGCUCGUAUUAACACGUUACACAAGGGGAAAACUAAGAAAAUGCCAAUGCAGACAACCCAUUUGCGGGAUUAGAACCUCGGACUAAACUACCAGUGUUCUGGGCCUUUAUCGCUCACCCAUUGAUGGGUCGUGAUUUAUAACUAGUUACCAGAUUUUUUUAUAUGGUGUACUUUUAAAUACUACAUCAGUUUUAUGCAUUUUUUAUUCAGAUUUUAAAAAAGGGCAUAUAUAGGAGUAUGUACUGCAUUUUCUUUCACUGUAUAUGUUUAUAUUACAGUCAGAUAUAUACAUUUAAAACAUAACUUGGAUUAUACGUGUUGUUCAGUUAUCUGUGACCUGCUUCUCCAGCAUGGUUAAUCAAGAGUACACUACAUUCACAAAAGUUCCCUCUUUGAAAGGUGAUAUACAUCGUUUUACUUCAAUAUUGCAAAAUUUGUUAACCUCUUACGGAAUUCUAUUUUGCAUAAUUUAAUAGACUGGCCAUCAGAUUUUUUUCAUGUUUAAUUUUAAUUAGGGCAUUUACUAAUCAUAAUCAUCAUAAGAAUAGAAAAUUCUACAGUGACCAUAUAAAAAAAUGUGCUUUUUCUGAUGGAAGGUGAUAUUCUCAUUUUUGUAAGUUCUGUUUGGUCAUACUGUUCUCUAAAUAAUUCUUAUUUUAAAUAAAUAAAAUAAUUCUUAAAGAAGAAUAUGCACAUAUUAAACUUUAUUAGGACUUUAAAAGGUCCUUUUCAAUGAACUUUAAUGUUAUUUUAUUUGAAUUAAAAUAUUAAAAGACAUAAAUCACCUGAUAAAUACAGCUUGUAAAUAAUCUACACAAUAGGUUCAUUAAUAGUUUUCAAACAAUUUUAUACUAACUUUAACUCUUUUGAUAAUUAAAUAAUAUGACAUAUGCCAGGUAUUCCCAAGCACUUGCAGUUUAUGGAAUUCAUGGUAAAUCAUAGCACCUUAAUUCAGAACACUGUCUGACCUGACAAUUCCAGCAAGCAACUAAAACAAUUAGGUUGAUUAAAUUUUAAACAAACAACUAAGAAUUUGGCUAUCACAAAUAUGCAGUCACAUUUAGCCUAUUCCUCUUUUAAUAAUAACAGAAAGUGACUUAGUUCCCUACUACUGAAUUUUGUCUUCAAUUUAUUGUCACAAGAGAGUUCGAUAAUAUUUCCUUUUGGAAAAGUAAAAAAGUAAAUGCAGAUAAAUUUUUGGCUUUGAAAAGAUCUGGAAUUUAUGCAAAGAUGUAGAGAUAUUAUGCUUUUGAACAAUUCUGACGACACAACACUCAGGAAAAACACAGUUUGCUGCGUAUUGUUAUCUACAAUACAUAUUUUGCCUGUAUUUAUGUGAUAGGUAAAAUUCAUGAAUAAAUAAAAUCAUUAUUAUAGUCA